rnacentral:rRNA from 1 species
AGGACGAACGCUGGCGGCGUGCUUAACACAUGCAAGUCGAACGGAGUGCCCAUGACAGGAGGUUUCGGCCAAUAGAUUGGGUUACUUAGUGGCGGACGGGUGAGUAACGCGUGAGCAACCUGCCUUUCAGAGGGGGAUAACAUUUGGAAACAGAUGCUAAUACCGCAUAAGAUUACAGUACCGCAUGAUACAGUGAUCAAAGGAGCAAUCCGCUGAAAGAUGGGCUCGCGUCCGAUUAGAUAGUUGGUGAGGUAACGGCUCACCAAGUCGACGAUCGGUAGCCGGACUGAGAGGUUGAACGGCCACAUUGGGACUGAGACACGGCCCAGACUCCUACGGGAGGCAGCAGUGGGGAAUAUUGCACAAUGGGCGAAAGCCUGAUGCAGCAACGCCGCGUGAGGGAAGACGGUUUUCGGAUUGUAAACCUCUGUUUUCGGUGACGAACAAAUGACGGUAACCGAGUAGGAAGCCACGGCUAACUACGUG